AUAUCGGAACGUGCCCAGUCGUGGGGGAUAACGUAGCGAAAGCUACGCUAAUACCGCAUACGAUCUACGGAUGAAAGCGGGGGAUCGCAAGACCUCGCGCGAUUGGAGCGGCCGAUAUCAGAUUAGGUAGUUGGUGAGGUAAAGGCUCACCAAGCCGACGAUCUGUAGCUGGUCUGAGAGGACGACCAGCCACACUGGGACUGAGACACGGCCCAGACUCCUACGGGAGGCAGCAGUGGGGAAUUUUGGACAAUGGGCGCAAGCCUGAUCCAGCAAUGCCGCGUGCAGGAUGAAGGCCUUCGGGUUGUAAACUGCUUUUGUACGGAACGAAACGGUGAGCUCUAAUACAGUUUGCUAAUGACGGUACCGUAAGAAUAAGCACCGGCUAACUACGUGCCAGCAGCCGCGGUAAUACGUAGGGUGCGAGCGUUAAUCGGAAUUACUGGGCGUAAAGCGUGCGCAGGCGGUGAUGUAAGACAGAUGUGAAAUGCCCGGGCUCAACCUGGGACCUGCAUUUGUGACUGCAUCGCU
rnacentral:rRNA from 1 species